UAAAACACUGUUGAUCAAACCCUGGAAAUAAUUAGUCAAGCUGUUUUCAUUUGCAUCGUAAGAGAAGUUUGAUGGUAUUUGGCGAGAAUGUUUUAUCUUUGCCUCUUAUCGGAUAAUCCCUAAAUAAAAGGUGAUGUCGUGCAGAUGGACAGAGGAAUACCCAUCGGAUGAACAGACUAACUCAUCUACAUGAGGGGCUGCAGGGAGUGCAGCAGCAGCAGCUUGGGAUUAUUUGAGGUGUACUCCCUUCUGCAAAGACUUCCUGCCAAUCAAUGGUAUCUGAAGGAGCAUGGACUGUCCUGGCGAAGUCUGGAGUAGCUGUGCACUUAAGUCUACCCCAAAAGUGUCAUCUCGUGCUGCCUCAGUCAAAGGCACCGGCUACUCUAUGAAUUUUUCCCCACCAUUGCUACUACUCAUGUUGAGAAGGCUCCGACAAUUAUUUUAAGCACCACAAGGUGUAAACCCGCUCUGAGCACCUGUUUUUAACAUGCCCUCAUCAACCUAACCUGAACCCUUGUCUGCAUUUGUGCUCCCAUGGAGCUGAAUUCAUGGUCGAAAUGGUGCGAAAUAUUAGCAAAACAAUCCACAACCUUAGCAACCUCCUAGGUAUCAGAGGAAUAGCAUCAAGUGAGAGAUCUGUUAAAGCCCUCUGCAAUGCUUAUUCUUGCUCUCCAUAAACACCUACGUGAAGCCUCAACCGGCAAAGAUGGAGAUGAAAAACAGCCCAACAAGUCCAAGAGCAUCAAGCACCUGACUUCAUUGCAAUGCACCUGAGAAGACAGACGGGUGGUAGCAAUUCCCACUUCCGCAGCUGAACCUGAAAGAGGAUUCCCCACUACAAUAUACAUCUGCUCCAGCCUUUCAGGCUACAAGACUGUUUCUCUGUGAUGUUGUAUGAACACCACGGUAGGGCAUCUCUUUCAUCCAGGAAAGUUAGAUUAUGAGUUCUGGGUAUAUGAUCAGCUCAUGCCACCACAAGCAAUGCAUGU